GACAGAGGGUGCAAACGUUGCUCGGAAUUACUGGGCGUAAAGGGCGUGUAGGCGGGAAGGCAAGUCGGGCGUGAAAGCCCCAGGCUCAACCUGGGAACUGCACUCGAAACUGCCUUUCUUGAGUGCCGGAGAGGAAAGCGGAAUUCCGUGGUGUAGAGGUGAAAUUCGUAGAUAUCAGGAGGAACACCAGUGGCGAAGGCGGUUCUCUGGGACGGUACUGACGCUGAGACGCGAAAGCGUGGGGAGCGAACAGG
rnacentral:rRNA from 1 species